CUAGCUGUAAACGAUGGAUACUAGGCGUUGAGAGUAUCGACCCUCUUAGUGUCGUAGCUAACGCGUUAAGUAUCCCGCCUGGGGAGUACGCGCGCAAGCGUGAAACUCAAAGGAAUUGACGGGGGCCCGCACAAGCGGUGGAGUAUGUGGUUUAAUUCGAUGCAACGCGAAGAACCUUACCAGGGCUUGACAUGUCCGGAACCCUGCCCAAAGGCGGGGGUGCCUACGGGAACCGGAACACAGGUGGUGC
rnacentral:rRNA from 1 species